GUAGGUGGCAAGCGUUGUCCGGAAUUAUUGGGCGUAAAGCGCGCGCAGGCGGUUCUUUAAGUCUGAUGUGAAAGCCCACGGCUCAACCGUGGAGGGUCAUUGGAAACUGGAGAACUUGAGUACAGAAGAGGAAAGCGUAAUUCCACGUGUAGCGGUGAAAUGCGUAGAGAUGUGGAGGAACACCAGUGGCGAAGGCGGCUUUCUGGUCUGUAACUGACGCUGAGGCGCGAAAGCGUGGGGAGCAAACAGGGAUUAGAUACCCUGGUAGUCCACGCCGUAAACGAUGAGUGCUAAGUGUUAGGGGGUUUCCGCCCCCUUAGUGCUGCAGCUAACGCAUUAAGCACUCCGCCUGGGGAGUACGGCCGCAAGGCUG
rnacentral:rRNA from 1 species